AGUCGAACGCUUUGUGGUUCAACUGAUUUGAAGAGCUUGCUCAGAUAUGACGAUGGACAUUGCAAAGAGUGGCGAACGGGUGAGUAACACGUGGGAAACCUACCUCUUAGCAGGGGAUAACAUUUGGAAACAGAUGCUAAUACCGUAUAACAAUGACAACCGCAUGGUUGUUAUUUAAAAGAUGGUUCUGCUAUCACUAAGAGAUGGUCCCGCGGUGCAUUAGCUAGUUGGUAAGGUAAUGGCUUACCAAGGCGAUGAUGCAUAGCCGAGUUGAGAGACUGAUCGGCCACAAUGGGACUGAGACACGGCCCAUACUCCUACGGGAGGCAGCAGUAGGGAAUCUUCCACAAUGGGCGAAAGCCUGAUGGAGCAACGCCGCGUGUGUGAUGAAGGGUUUCGGCUCGUAAAACACUGUUGUAAGAGAAGAAUGACAUUGAGAGUAACUGUUCAAUGUGUGACGGUAUCUUACCAGAAAGGAACGGCUAAAUACGUGCCAGCAGCCGCGGUAAUACGUAUGUUCCAAGCGUUAUCCGGAUUUAUUGGGCGUAAAGCGAGCGCAGACGGUUAUUUAAGUCUGAAGUGAAAGCCCUCAGCUCAACUGAGGAAUUGCUUUGGAAACUGGAUGACUUGAGUGCAGUAGAGGAAAGUGGAACUCCAUGUGUAGCGGUGAAAUGCGUAGAUAUAUGGAAGAACACCAGUGGCGAAGGCGGCUUUCUGGACUGUAACUGACGUUGAGGCUCGAAAGUGUGGGUAGCAAACAGGAUUAGAUACCCUGGUAGUCCACACCGUAAACGAUGAGUGCUAGGUGUUUGAGGGUUUCCGCCCUUAAGUGCCGCAGCUAACGCAUUAAGCACUCCGCCUGGGGAGUACGACCGCAAGGUUGAAACUCAAAGGAAUUGACGGGGACCCGCACAAGCGGUGGAGCAUGUGGUUUAAUUCGAAGCAACGCGAAGAAUCUUACCAGGUCUUGACAUCCCUUUGACAACUCCAGAGAUGGAGCGUUCCCUUCGGGGACAAGUGACAGGUGGUUGCAUGUUGUCGUCAGCUCGUGUCGUGAGAUGUGGUUAAGUCCGCAACGAGCGCAACCCUUAUUACUAGUUGCCAGCAUUCAGUUGGGCACUCUAGUGAGACUGCCGGUGACAAACCGGAGGAAGGUGGGGAUGACGUCAAAUCAUCAUGCCCCUUAUGACCUGGGCUACACACGUGCUACAAUGGCGUAUACAACGAGUUGCCAACCCGCGAGGGUGAGCUAAUCUCUUAAAGUACGUCUCAGUUCGGAUUGUAGGCUGCAACUCGCCUACAUGAAGUCGGAAUCGCUAGUAAUCGCGGAUCAGCACGCCGCGGUGAAUACGU
rnacentral:rRNA from 1 species